UGCAGUCGAACGAGAAAGUUUCCUUCGGGAAGCGAGUACAGUGGCGAACGGGUGAUAACACGUGGGUUACCUGCCCUCGAGUGGGGAAUAACCUUGGGAAACCGGGGCUAAUACCGCAUACGGUCUACGGACUAAAGCUUUAUGCGCUCGAGGAGGGGCCCGCGGUCGAUUAGCUAGUUGGUGAGGUAAUGGCUCACCAAGGCAUCGAUCGAUAGCCGGCCUGAGAGGGCACACGGCCACACUGGCACUGAGACACGGGCCAGACUCCUACGGGAGGCAGCAGUGGGGAAUCUUGGACAAUGGGGGAAACCCUGAUCCAGCGACGCCGCGUGAUCGAUGAAGGCCUUCGGGUCGUAAAGAUCUUUCAGCGGGGACUAUAAUGAAGGUACCCGCAGAAGCAGGAGCGGCUAACUAUGUGCCAGCAGCCGCGGUAAUACAUAGGCUCCAAGCGUUGUUCGGAAUUACUGGGCGUAAAGCGAGUGUAGGCGGUGCGACAAGUCGAUUGUGAAAUCUCCCGGCUCAACCGGGAGGGUGCGGUCGAAACUGUCGGACUGGAGUCCGAGAGGGGAGAGUGGAAUUCCUGGUGUAGCGGUGAAAUGCGUAGAUAUCAGGAGGAACAUCGGUGGUGAAGACGGCUCUCUGGAUCGUGACUGACGCUGAGACUCGAAAGCGUGGGGAGCAAACAGGAUUAGAUACCCUGGUAGUCCACGCCCUAAACGAUGCAGUCGAAUGCAGUCGAAUUCACUGCG
rnacentral:rRNA from 1 species